rnacentral:rRNA from 1 species
UGGGGAAUAUUGCGCAAUGGGCGAAAGCCUGACGCAGCGACGCCGCGUGGGGGAUGAAGCUUCUCGGAGUGUAAACCCCUUUCGACCCGGACGAAUGUCCCGCAAGGGAUUGACGGUACGGGUAUAAGAAGCCCCGGCUAACUACGUGCCAGCAGCCGCGGUAAUACGUAGGGGGCCAGCGUUGCUCGGAAUUACUGGGCGUAAAGGGUUCGUAGGCGGUGUGGCAAGUCGGAAGUGAAAUCUCCAGGCUCAACUUGGAGGCUGCUCCCGAAACUGCCAUGCUAGAGUGCGGGAGAGGCCAGUGGAAUUGCAGGUGUAGCGGUGAAAUGCGUAGAUAUCUGCAGGAACACCCGUGGCGAAGGCGGCUGGCUGGACCGCAACUGACGCUGAGGAACGAAAGCUAGGGGAGCAAACAG